rnacentral:lncRNA from 1 species
CCUCUUCGGCUCUCAGCCAGCUUGCCUUCAAGAUCCUCAUCUAGACAAGGCUUAAAUUUGGCUUAACUGUUGGCUCCAGCAUUACCGUUUCACAAGGACGGAGGUGCAGCCUGUGUGGUGAUCCUUGCCAGGCGAAGGCACCAGGAAGAAUCCUUAUCCAAUGACGGGGACCCUAAAACUUGCCCGCACUCUUUUGUGAGUUGGGUUGGGUGGGGUGACUGCUGUCCUGCUGCAGAAGGUGUGGCUGUCUACUGUCUACCUUUUCUACCUCUGAAAUUUCACUUUGAUGGAGUUGCAGCGGCAGCUCCCGCCUCUGGUUCCUGCCCUGCAUGAGUUCCUGUCCUGACUUCCUUCAGUGGUGGACUAUGAUGUGCAAAUAACAUUUCUUACUUCAGGAGGUGUCCGGCCUCAGAAAAUGCUGCUCCAAAGUCCUUUGGAUGGAAUUGAAUGAGACCUAGAGGAUUCACAAGGAAUCUCCAUUUUGAAGAUGGUGGCAGAUUCAAGAUCAGAAGUCUCACAGAGAGGGCUCCUGCUGAACGCCUGGGAGAAGAAUAGACCAGAAGGAGGCUGGACACAGAGGCUGUGUGGGGCCACUCCAGCCUAUCACCAGGACACCUAAGCCUUCUGUCCAGUUGUGCUUUACACUGUCCUCCAGGCUUCCAAACAGUUUUCAUUGAGUCUUUGGAUGCUCAUUUCUGAAGCCACAUUAAAUCGAGGCUACUUCCUCUUAUUAACCUUU